CUACAAGAGACUGAAUUGAAUGGCAGAGGGUGUUUUCUGCUGUCUUAUUACAGAGUUGCAGAAUCAAGAGGACUUAAUAUGCUGUUACCAUGAGAUGAGCAGCUUUGAUCAACCAUGAUCUCCCACCAUAAUAUACUGCUUCAACCACAGACCCAGAAACAAUGGAGCCUACUGACCAUUGGCUUAAACUCUGAAACUCCCCUCACCCUUGUACAUCUGAAUGACAGAGAAGACUCCAGAAGAUCCCAAGGACAACUAAAAUCAUUGUUCAAUAUAUGAAAAUGCUCAUUCAUUAUUCCCAUCAAAAGCAAUUUCUUUACUUUAACAAUAAAAUUAAAGGAUGUUAAUAAG